CAUUGUUGAGUGUAGGAGACCAUGGA
rnacentral:piRNA from 1 species